GGAGUUUGGGCCGUGUCUCAGUCCCAAUGUGGCCGGUCGCCCUCUCAGGCCGGCUACGGAUCAUCACCUUGGUAGGCCGUUACCCUGCCAACUAGUUAAUCCGACGCGGGCUCAUCCUGCACCGAUGAAUCUUUCCACCCGGGGCCAUGCGGCCCCGUGUGCAUAUGCGGUAUUAACAGUCGUUUCCAACUGUUAUCCCCCAGUGCAGGGCAGAUUACUCACGUGUUACUCACCUAUCCGCCGCUAAGUUACACGCAUCAUCCGAAGAAUCUGCAUAUAACUCCGCUCGACUUGCAUGUGUUAGGCACGCCGCCAGCGUUCAUC
rnacentral:rRNA from 1 species